rnacentral:rRNA from 1 species
UACAGAGGGUGCGAGCGUUGUCCGGAAUCACUGGGCGUAAAGGGCGCGUAGGCGGCACGGCAAGUCAGGAGUGAAAAGGCCUGGGCUCAACCGAGGAACUGCUUUUGAGACUGCCGAGCUAGAGUGCAGGAAGGGGCAACUGGAAUUCCCAGUGUAGCGGUGAAAUGCGUAGAUAUUGGGAAGAACACCUGAGGCGAAGGCGGGUUGCUGGGCUGACACUGACGCUGAGGCACGAAAGCGUGGGGAUCGAACAGG